ensembl:lncRNA
UAAAUGAACUUCACAUAAUUUAGGACAGAGCUCUAGAUUAAGUGCUUCAGUGCUUUAAAAAUGUAAUUUCCAAUCAACAGCAAGUAAUAUUGCUUUAUUUUUGGGGUGUGGAGAAGUAAGCUAAUAGUGAAGUUAGAAUUUUGUAGGUCAGUAAUUUCAAUGUAUAAAUAUUACUGUGAUUAUGUAGCUAUUGAUAAACUAAUUAAAAAUACAAGAAGUACAGAACUUCAUCAUACUUAUAAUGAGAUGUUACGGCACUGAAAAGAACAGAGAAGGAAGUGACUUUGUCUUGUAUUGAUCUCAUGUCUCUGUGACAUUCUAGGAUUGUGAAUGGAAAUUAAAACAAUAUUUUGAAAAGAUUUUUCUCUUCCUUGUAAUUACUUUGAGGAUGUUUUAAAUGCAGCAAGGAUUCAGUUGUAGCAUUUGCCAAAGAAAUAUCAUGAGAGUGACAGGGAAAGAGAAAUAUAUUUGACAAGGUUUCAAGCAAUAGUGGAAAAACAAAAGCUGUUCUUGAUACACUUCAUUUACAGCAUGAUAAAAAUCAGACUCUGGAAGUACUGAUACCGAGCAUCAACCAUCUAUCCCACAUCUAUUCAUUACUUCAGGGAAAGAUAUAUGCUACUAGAGAAAACAUGCCCUCAGGUGAGGUGGUUUGGUUGUUUUUCAUAGAGGAUACUUACCGGAUCUUCUGCUCUGUAGCUCCGGACUAGAAGUCUAGUCACAGAAUUAUCUUUAGAGGGUGUGUGUUUUCUUGCAUCUUUAUAGAACAGGACCAAAUUUGGUCUGAGAAGCAUAUUUCUCUGACAAGCUGGAAAAUUAAGUUUUAACAAGUGGAUUUAAAGUAAUAUACAUAGGCAGACAAAAAAAAAAAAAAAAGGCAAUAUUUCUGAAUAUUUCUCUAAAUCUAGUGGACCCAGCUAGUAGUUUAAUCCAGAAUACUCUAAACUUUGUGAUAUUACAGCUUUUCUAUUAGCUGAUCAUUAUUUAUCCUGACCAGAGCUAUAUCUUUCUACAGUGUUUGGUUUGCAUAACUCAAAAUAAGGAUUUUCAUAGUGCAAAAAGGUCAUGGAAAUGCCUUUUCAGUGGUUAAAACUGGCAAGAAUCAAAGGAAAUUCCACGGCUCGAUUAGGAUGCUGAGCAUGUGUGCCAGCCCAGAUGAACAGUGAUGCUUCUGGCCAUGCUUUAUGUAAGGAAAGACUUUAAAGGAGCUUCUCAUACACAUUUUCUACACUAUUUCUCAUUUUCUCAUACUCUAUAUUCUACUAUUAUUAAGACUACUAAAAAACUGACCUCUGUAAAGGCAUUUUGCCAUAAAUGAGAUCAUAAAUGUUUCUCAGGCCUGUUACUGUUUAUUUUACAUGUUCAUGUAUCUCUAACCAUAUUAUAUACAUAUAAAGCAGCUAUCACCAUAUUGACAAAUAGUCUUUGGAACCACUGAGUCUGGAACUGGUCCACUGAGCCAAACAGUUCUAGUUGUAUCUUUUCUUCCCACACAGUUCAGCACUAAGGAAAGCAUUUGCAACUUACACUUAUAGCAGAGGGAUUCAGAAAGUUACAGACAAUUUACAGGCACCAUUUUCAAAGGCAGGCAAGUAGGUGGCAAUAAAAUAGAGGGUUGGAGUGAAGAGAAGGUGGCUGGCAGAUAUGUAAUGGCUGCAGCUGCCAGCAAGGCUGGAGGGAGGAUUUGAGUCUGCAAAUAUGCUGGCUGGUGGCUGGAAAAGAAGAGACAGACAGAAGGGGAUGCAGAGCUCCAAAGAAGGUUGAUGGGAACUAGAACUCUAUUAUAAACUAGAAACUAGGAAACUAAGCUCUGUUUAAAAUAUUUAUAGAAUGAUAGGAGCAUAUACUGUAUUGAAACCAAUUUAUCUCUAUUGCUAGACUUGUCAUUGCAAACUGCAAAGUGAUGCUAUUCAUGAAUACACAUUUUUUCUAAAUCUGCUGUUCAGUAUGCUAAGCAUAUCAAUCAGAUGCACCAUUGUCAGUUAAUUAACAUUUGAUUGCGUUAAACAUAGGGUGUUGAAGAGGAGGUUUCUCGUUGAGGGGGUGGGGUAUCAAUGUUUGAGUCCUUUGGAGGGGAGGGACAUGUUAAUGAUUAUCCUGAAUUGGAAGUAAAGUCAAACU